rnacentral:rRNA from 1 species
AGAGUUUGAUCCUGGCUCAGGAUAAACGCUGGCGGCGUGCCUAAUACAUGCAAGUCGAGCGGGAUUGGCGGAUCGCAAGUGAUGCCAGUCUAGCGGCGGACGGCUGAGUAACGCGUGGGUGACCUGCCUUGAAGUGGGGAAUAACGGUUCGAAAGAAUCGCUAAUACCGCAUGUGGUCGUGGCUUCGUUGUUACGACUAAAGCCGCAAGGCGCUUCGAGAGGGGCCUGCGUCCGAUUAGCUAGUUGGUGAGGUAAAGGCUCACCAAGGCGAUGAUGGGUAGCCGGCCUGAGAGGGUGUACGGCCACAUUGGGACUGAGAUACGGCCCAAACUCCUACGGGAGGCAGCAGCUAAGAAUAUUCCGCAAUGGACGAAAGUCUGACGGAGCGACGCCGCGUGGAUGAUGAAGGCCGAAAGGUUGUAAAAUCCUUUUGUCGGGGAAGAAUAAUCAUGGGAGGGAAUGCCCGUGAGAUGACGUUAACCGGCGAAUAAGCCCCGGCUAACUACGUGCCAGCAGCCGCGGUAACACGUAGGGGGCAAGCGUUGUUCGGAAUUACUGGGCGUAAAGGGCAUGUAGGCGGUUUUAUAAGCCUGACGUGAAAGGCUAUGGCUUAACCAUGGCACUGCGUUGGGAACUGUGAGACUUGAAUCACGGAGGGGGAGCUGGAAUUCCAGGUGUAGGGGUGAAAUCUGUAGAUAUCUGGAAGAACACCAGUGGCGAAGGCGAGCUCCUGGCCGAUGAUUGACGCUGAGGUGCGAAAGUGUGGGGAUCAAACAGGAUUAGAUACCCUGGUAGUCC